AAUGAUAGUAGACGGGCCAAUAA
rnacentral:siRNA from 1 species